rnacentral:rRNA from 1 species
GAUGAACGCUAGCGAUAGGCUUAACACAUGCAAGUCGAGGGGCAGCAUGGUCUUAGCUUGCUAAGACUGAUGGCGACCGGCGCACGGGUGCGUAACGCGUAUGCAACUUGCCUCACAGAGGGGGAUAACCCGUCGAAAGACGGACUAAUACCGCGUACACUCUAUGUUGGGCAUCCAAUGUAGAGGAAAUGAAAUUCGCUGUGAGAUAGGCAUGCGUCCCAUUAGCUAGUUGGUGAGGUAACGGCUCACCAAGGCGACGAUGGGUAGGGGAACUGAGAGGUUGAACCCCCACACUGGUACUGAGACACGGACCAGACUCCUACGGGAGGCAGCAGUGAGGAAUAUUGGUCAAUGGGCGAGAGCCUGAACCAGCCAAGUCGCGUGAAGGAUGACUGUCUUAUGGAUUGUAAACUUCUUUUAUACGGGAAUAACAAGAGUCACGUGUGGCUCCCUGCAUGUACCGUAUGAAUAAGCAUCGGC